AAUUUGAGACAAUGGAUCAGCUAAUGAAUGGAUUCUGCACAGAUGAAGUUCCAAUAAUUGAACCUAAUGAGAUUCUAAUGCCUUGUGCUCCUUCCUCUUCAGCCACCUCUACAUCUUCUUCAAAUUCAACCAACAUCCUUGAAGACCUGCAGCUACCUGAUUUUGAAUGGUUUUGUGAUUACAUUGAUAGUAGUCUUAGUAAUAACAAUAACAACCAUGAAGACAAGAACACCAACAAUAGCUGUGUGGCUUUGUGGGAUGAUGAUGACUUUACUAGCAAACUUAAUUGGCUGAUCUCUGAAGACGAUGACUGUGAUGGUCCUCUCACUCAAUUCUCAAGAACUGUUACGGAUUCAUGGGCUUUUGGCUUGUUUUGAUUUCAAAUUUUCUACCCUUUUCCUUUGUCCUGUUUUCAAUCUGAUUCUAAGUUUUUAAUUAAAAAGAAUAAAUAGAUAAUGAUUAGGAAGAACACAGCUCUUGUUAAAGCAUUACCAACUUGCCUCCUAACUUUUCACUUUUUCAUGUACAAAUAAUAUGUAUGUGCGAUAUGAUAAUGGAAAUACAUUCCUUUCUUUACUUUUAUAAGUUUUUUUUUUUUCAAUGUAAAGAGCUUUACACUUUUUAUUACAUGUAUAAUUUAUUCUUGUCUUUUCAUUAGCAGCACUUUCUGUUUAUUUCUUUUAUAUUGACACAAUUCUCGAAUAUGAAAAUUCUUGCCACUCAACCUUGUGGCAUGGGUGGAAGCAUGCUGAUUUGUUCUAUUGAGUCGCACUCACUUUUUUAUUUUUAUUUUUCAGUGCAAUUGAUGAUGUCGUCUUACUGCAAAUUUCAAAGUCCUUAUCUUUAUAUACAUACAUACAAUAUAUACAUACAUACAUAUAUAUAUAUAUAUAUAUAUAUAUAUAUAUAUAUAUAUAUAUUACUUACACCAUUUGAAGAGACUCUAUUAAAUAUUGAUAAUUAACUUUUUAUUUUGUCAUGCGAGACAAAACUAAAAGAAAACAGCACUAUUUUACUUUUUUAAAAUUUAUUAUCAGUUAUGAUUUUCUAAAAGGAUAUACAACUUCCACUCUUUAUUCUAUUACAAAACUUAAUAAAACAUAAUGUCAAAAUAUAUCAAUACUUAAAGGUAAUAUUAUCGUUCAUGAUAAAUGAAUUUAUUUUAAUAUUAUUUUGUUUCCUUUUUAUAUAUUAUUUACCUUUCUAUACUCAUGGACUUGAACAUUAAAAAGAAUUUGCAAAUGAAACUCUAUUUAAUACAUUAACUAAGAUUCAAAGAGAUUAGAGAUUAUCUCUCAUAUUAAAAAAUAUUUAAAUUCAAUUAAAAUAUCUUGUAUAUGCUACAGGAUUAACAAGACUUUUCUUGAUGUAAGAAUUAAAAAAUAGGUAAUAGAGUAUAUAGGUAUAUUAAAAUAUUGAGACGAGCAUUUUAUAAUAUAAAUAGAACUUUCUAAAGCUCGGUUCAUUAUCUUAAACACUUCAUUUCUCUAAAACAUUGUUCUCUACUCUUUCUCUCACUUCUCUCUCUAGGAUUUCUCUCUACUGAGUUGUCUGAUUGACGAUCAGGGGGUGUCCAAAUGUUCACGACGUAGAGAGCUACACAAUUGAUCAAUCAAUUUCUUGAUUCUAGCUGGUAAGCUGUUCUUCCCUUUUCUCCGCAUGUUCUUGAACCUGGAUCAUGCAAUUUCUGUUGGUUGCAUGUGUCUUGUGUUUUUCCUCUUUAACUCUUUGUUUAAUUCUAGCUCUAAGAGUUUUUUUUAUCACCAAUUGGUGGUUUGUAGGUUUCUGUUGAGUUUCCUUGCGGUUCAAGGCAUUGUCAGAGUAAGUCUGUGAGCUGGGCUGUUUAUUUCUGAGGUAAGGGGAGCUGGAUUUUUGUUUAAAUUAGUAGUAUGAUAUGUGUAUGUACUGAAUUCUGUGUUUUGGUACUGUUUGAGUUGAAAUUUGGUUUUGUGUAGCUUAAAAUCAUGUGUUGUUUGAAUGCCAAAUGAUGAAACUGUGAAAUGUUGAUUGUGAACUGAAUUGGAUAGUGUGUGCAACUGUAAUUGAACCUGUGUGAGGUGUGUAAUAUGUUAUAUUAAUGAGUAGAUAGAAAGGGAAGUGAAUUAUGCAUGUUUUGAGCCAAUUUAGAGGAAAUGGAGUAGUGAAAUUGAGAGUUAGGGGUUAAGGACUCAAUUAGGCUGUUAGAACAGUUUGGGUAAGUCAAUUGUGACUUGUUAGAGUCAUCAAAGUGGUCAAAAACAUGUUCAAAGUGGUAAAUCUAAGAUUGGGUCCUUAAGUUGAGGAUAUUGAUGUUUUAGAAUAGGAUUUGGUUCAUAAUCCCUUUAGAUUGAUGUUAGGAAGGUUUAGAAUCACUUAGGCAAGUCUAAUUAGGUAUAUAACACAAUCUAGAAGCGUUAGAAGUUGGGAAGAAUAGUUAGAAUUGGUAUUUGGGUCUUGAGUUGCAUAAUUCUGCAGAAUUUCAUCCUGCAGAUUAUGCAGACUCGCUGAGUGAAUGGAUUCGCACAGCGAGUCGUCCUGGAAUUUGCACAGCGAAUUGGUGAGUUGCGCUAAUGGUGAGAGAGUUGCUCUCUGUCUGGUCAUUUGCACAGCGAGUCUGUGCACUGUGCGAGUGAUUUAAGAUGGUUGCUCUCAAUCUCCUGAUUCGCGUAGAGAAUCUGGACGCUAUGCGACUGGUGGUGGUCUAGGAUUAUUGCCGGUUUAAUUCAAAUGGCGAAUUGGUGCGUACAACAAGUGUUUGGGGGGUUUGGUCUCUGUCUAGGCUUUCGCAUAAUGACCUGGGUGCAUUAUGCGAGGAGCUUGAGGUCUAGUGUCUCUACGAGUUAAUUCGCACAACAAGUUGUAUCGUUGUGCGAGAAACUUCUAGUCUCGCUCUGCGAAUGGGGUGCAACGUGCGAAAGUUCUGAGUUUAGUUUACUAUCUUUUUCUAUUGUCUUGUGUUGUACUAUGUUGGGUGUUGCUUGGUUUGUGAAGUAUGUUUGAGAGUGUAUUGUAUUAUAUAAUAGAGGAUAAACAUGGAUAUUAAUUACAGAUAAAAAGUAUGUGAUUAUAAAGGGAUGAAAUGUAUGUUUCAAAGUAGAAUCUCUUGGUGAGAUUCCAACUUGUUUAGAAUGAAUGCAGGAGCUCAGUCUUGGGGGUUAUCAUGAAACUCCAAUGGUCUUUCAUUCUUAAGUAGAGAGGAUUGAACCAUGUCAUGAGGAGUAACGGGGAGGUCUUAGUCUUGGGGGCUUCCAGUAUGCCUCAAGGCCCGGAACAAACUAACCUCAUGAGUGUGGUAGGGUGAAACCCAUUGACAACGACUUUGCAAAGCAGUAGAAGCCACCACGAGUGCAUUACCCGCCAUAGCUCGACAUUCUAAGUCCGGACGAGUCAAGUCUAGAGUAUAACAUUGUUAGGAUGAGUGAUUCAGUUUACUUUACUUGAAUUAAACAUGUAUAUUGUGUGUUAUUAUAAUGAUAUGAUUUUGUAUACCUAGUUCACCCUUCUGUUUGUGUUUGUAUGUUUGUUGUGUGAUGUUUUCUUUUACAAUGAUCAUCCUUUAUAUAUGAGCAGAGGUAGAUGAGGUUCCCCUGAAGCAAACUUUGAAGAGCGAUGACACGACUGCCUAGUGUAGUUAGAUUGUCUCCUUUGUUUUGUAUAGUUUUAAAAUAUUCUAUUAUAAAUAAAGUUUUAAAUUUAUAGUCAUUUUGGAUGACUAUAAAAUUAACUCUUUAUCUGCAAAUCUUUAAUUGUUCUAUCAUAUUAUAAUGUUGACUACUAUUUAUAUAGUUUAUAUUAUAUAUUUUGGUUGUUACACUUGACUAUACAAAUUAAUAAUUCUUAAAAUUGUCUAUUUAUCAUGUACAUAUAAUCCUAUUAUAAUUUUUUGUCUUUGAGUUUUAUUGACUAAUUAAUAAAAAUUUUGGAUUAUAGUAUAUUAUAACUUUUAUCUCUCAUACUAUAUUUUAAUAAAAUCCAUAUAUUAAAUUUUUGUGUUCAAUUAAAUGUUUUGAAAUUUUAAAAUUUUUCAAUUGUGGUUAGAUUUUUUUGUUAACUAGGUAAUACGACACUUAUUUUAUCUUAUCACUUUUUUAAAUAUUGUGACAUAAUAUUUAGUAUUUCAUAAUUUUGUAAUUAUAUAUUUUAUAUUUUUUAAUUUUAUAUUUCAUAGUUCUAAUUAAAUUUAAAAAUAAUUUCUAUUGAAUACAAUAAAUUCUUAUAACUUGUUAUUAUAGUCUUUUUAUAACAAAAUAUCAUAAUUUUUUAUAAAAGAAUAUUAUAUAAAAUUAUUUGAGCGCGUUAAUUAACUGUCACAUUAAUUUAACUGUAAGUAUUUAAUUCAAAGUUAUAAAAUUUUGAGGAUAAAUCACAAAAAUUUAAUAGAUAUAUUGAGAGUUGCCAAAUUUACUGUUAAUAAAAACUUUUAAGCUUAAAAUUCCAUUAAUUUAUUAAUAAAGAAUAUUUUAUGCUUGAUAAUGAUUAAUUAUAUAAUAAUAUUAAUAUCUUAAAUUUCAUCAUAACCUUUUUAGAGCAUGCAACUUAAAAUCGAGGUGCAUCAUUAAAAACAACUUACUGAUUUCUUGGAUUUGAAAUGUGAGAAAUUCUUUAAAAAGUGCUAAUUGUAUAGUAUUCAUUGUACAUUUAUGUUGUCAAGUUAUUAAGUUAUUGACAAAUGAAUUUUCACUUCUUUUUUUCAUUAUUCGUCCAAGUAACACAAUAAAGGAAGAUUUUUUUUUUAAUUUAUUUAUUUAUCUAUUAUGAGAAUAAUUAUAAACAUACAAUACAAUAUUAUUAAUUAUUUUAUCUUCUACUGUGUUGUUUGAAAACUAAUAUUUAUGAUUAAUUUCCAACUUACAUAUUCCAUUGUUAAUAAUUCUUAUAGAUGUAAAAAAUCAUUAAAAUAUAUCUUGUUACAAAUAUUAAUAGCUUUUCAAAAUUAUCUUGAUCUGUACAAGCAUUUUUAUAUUAAUUUCUUUUAAAUAUUGUGCAUAUGAACAAAUAUAAUACAAUAUUUAGUUGUUACACUUUAAAUUUCUUUAGCUCAUCUUUGCAAAGUAAGUCUUUUUAGCUUGAUAUAAGACAUUUAACAUCUUUUAGUAUAAUUCAUCUCUUUAAUAUGUUUAGUUUAACUUUGUGUUUUGAAUUUCUAACUCGACAUCAUCCUAGGAUCCAUUUUGCUUAACUUUGUGUCUUAUAAUAUAUCUCUAACUCAAUUUUAUGUCAUAUUUCUUAAGCGUGAGUUUAUACUUUUAACAUUUUUUUUAUUAACAAGUCAUUACUUUUGAAUAAAUAAUAAUUUAUUUAAGCAUUAAAAUUCACUUAACAUCAUAUAGAGACUUAACAUAAUUUUAAUAUUUUUCUGGGUAGAGAGAGACCUUUCAUUUCAUGUCAUGUUUUAAUACCGUAAAAAGACAAUAUUUGACUUUAGGAAAGAAAUUGCUAAUUUCAGGUCACACAAAAGCUCUAAAAUAAAAGAAAAUACAAUAUGAGAUGAAAAACUCUAAAUAUCUAAUCUGCUCUUAAAUUUUCAUCCAUGUAUAUUUAAUUUGGCUCAUUUUCAUAAAAGAAAAUAAUUUCGUUUUUUAACAUGUUUAAUUUUUGCUCAGUUCAAUAUUUGUUAGCAUUUUAACUUAAUAUUAUAUAAUAAAUAAAUCAAAAAGUGAUUUCACAUAUAAAAUGUAAUACUUCUGAUUUCUAUUAUUGUAAUUUUUUUAAAUCUAGAUUUUAUCAACAUGUCACCACAAAUGGCAUUUAUUUUUAAACAAAAAAUGUCUUAAUCUUUUUUUUUUGUUGAUAUAUCUAAUAUGUUGUUAUAGUAUACACAUUAUAGGUUCACAAUAGUAUAGUGCCAGAUAUUAACAUUUAUGUAUUAAUAAUAUGCCAAUAUUUUCACCAAUAAAAAUUGAUAGAUAUUUUUUUUUUUGGAAUAUGGAAUAAUGAACAACUAAAGUCCACAUGGAAAAACAACAUAGUAGUCACAAGUAACAAUGAAACAUAAGAAAAAAAAAUAUCUGUUGAAAUUGUUGUGUGGACAGAAUGAAGUUGACGAUCGAAAGCUUCCAUAUAUAGUUUGUCUUUUUAUUAUGAGUAUGAUUCUAUACCUUAUACAUUACACUGGACGAUGAGAAAAUGCUUUGGAAUGUCCAUUUUUUAUAUGUUUACACAAAUUUUGAAAAUGUUAAAUAUAUAAAUUAUACUAAAAUUAAAAAAAUAACUUUAUUUACAUAUUGAUUUAUAUAUAUUAAUUUAAUCAAAUUUCAUCACUGCUUAUACAAUGCUACAUAGUUUGAGUGACUAUAAGUUUAUGAAAAACAUUGCUUUAAAAGAAAAGUUAUGAGAAAAUAUUCAUGGCUGACAUCUAUUUUGAAGGAGAUUUACAGCCACAAUUAUGAAUUAUAUUUGGCAUGAAUAUUCCUAAAAUAAAAGUUCUUCGAAGUUUGAUCUUCCAAUUUCUAAUGAGGUUAUCGUGACAACCAAGGUAGAAGAAAAAGACAUUUAAUGUUACCAUCCAUGAUUUAUCUUCCCCAACCACUUCAUUUGUCUGUUAGUACAAUAUAAUAUAUUGUUAGCAUAGAUUCAAAAUAGAGCACAUUUAUCUUUUUAAAAUAAUAGCAAUGGGUUAAAUUGAAUUUUAAUUAGAAAUUAAUAAUUUUCUUUUUCAUUUUCUAGCAUAUAAAAUUUUUGUGAAUUUAAAUGAUUUUUUUUUUCAUCACUACUUUCAAAAUACUUAGAUACUCUCAAGCGAAAUUAAGUUUCAAAAUGGAUAAUGAUAUUUAGACAACAUUUUUUUUUACAACAUUUAAACAUUAAUUAUGUGUCAAUAUGUGAUUGGUCAAAAAUUACUCCACAAUAAUAUUUAUGAUUAUUAUUAUUAACUAUGGAAUAAUUUUUGGCCAAUCACAUAUUGACACAUAAUCAAUGUUCAGACGUUGCCAAAAAAAUGUUGUCUAAAUAUCAUUAUCUUAACAAGAACCAUUAAUCCCUUUAUAUGUCCAAUCCUCAAAUUAACUCCUUAUUAAUUAUGCGUAGACAGUAAAGUUCUGUUUGUUAAUUGUAUUUUUAAUCUUUCACCUAUAUUUAUACGUAUAAAUAGUCAUUUCAGAAUAACAAGUUUUGUUAUAGUUAUAAUAAAACAAAAUUAUAAUUUUAGUAAAAUAAUUUUAUUGUUUUUAUUAGUUUUUUUUUCUAAAUUUUUUAAUUACUGUGGUAAUUUAAGAUCUGUUUAUUGUAAAAUAAAUUCUUCAAUAUACAAUUAACUUUAAAGCAAACAUUUUUCCAUUUCUUUCUUGCAUUGAAAAUUGAAAAUCAUUCUUUUUAUUUUUGUUUUAUAGAUUUAAAAUCUUUUAUAGUUCUUUCUUAUUAAUUGUAUAUCAAUAAAAACACAUUACCAAAUAAAGAUUAAAUAAGUUUUCAAUUAUGACAAUUAAAACGAAAAAACAAUUUCGUUACGAAAAAUAUGCAUAGCACAUUUUUAGUUGGUAAAGUAUUAGAGAUGUAACAUAAACUAUCGACUUGUCUUCAUUAAGCUUUUUAAAGUAGUAAGGUUCGUCAAUAGUUUUUCCUUUAAAAAAAGUGAAACGAUAAUGUAAGGAAACCAAAUUAUAAAACAAAGACAUUGCACCAAACAAUGACAGAUACAAAAUUAACUAAUUAAGUAUCAAAACAUAAACUUUUAUAAUCAAAAGUGACUUCAAAGCCACCAAAAAGUGGAUUACUACAAAACAUGAUAAAUAAUAAAUGUGUGUAUCAUUUUGUGUAAUUUUUUUAUAAUGAUAGUUUUGUUUUAUUACUAAUUGAACCAAAUAUCAAAUCAGACAAUUAAUUACGAUUAUUCUACAAACAUCAUAUUACAAAUACAGUUAUAAGUAAGUUCUCCAACACCAUUUUAAACCAAUACAGUUUAUAUAUUUACAUAAUUAAAAUAUAAAUUUUUUCUACUAACAUCAAAACAAUUUAGUACAUAACUGAAAUUUAUGUUUGACAUAUAGAUAUAAAAUAUAAAAAAAAUUGUAAUUGAAUAUUCAAUAUUUAUGUGUGACAUUAGACAUAAAUGUGCUUAAAAAAACAUAAAAUAUUCAUUUCUCUUUUUUUUUUCCUUACAAGAAACUUCAUCUCGAUAAUAAGGACUAUUUUUGUACGAGUUAGAAUUUCUAUUGGUAAUUAAAAUUUGUCUUUUUAAUCAUUCUCGUGUAAUUCUGAUUUAAACACUAUUUCGCUAGGACUCAUAUAGGAUCUAUAGGGUUAUAACCUUUUAGAAAAUAUAGAAAAUUAGUAAGAAUAUGCGUUGGAAAGUGAUUGAAAUUUCAAAUUGGACAGUAUUUUAGAAAUGUCGAUAUCUCGAACUAUAGAACUCUAAUUGAGGUAAUUCUAAAAUGAGGUGAGUAUUCACAUUUUAAACUUCAAUUUAGACUCAAGAAUCACUUAAUUUGGACACAUGGAAUGAAAGAUAUGACCAUGAGAUAAACUUGGACAAAAAUGAGUUUUUGAAUUCGGGUGAAGGAAGAAUAAUGGUGAAUAUGAAAGGUGGAAGAAAAAAAUCACUCUUUCAGAAGGAGACAACACACAAAGGAUGAAAAAGUCAUUUGACACGGUCAAAGAGACUCUUGAAUUACUUAAAAACUUAGGAGAAUCACUCUCACUAAGAUAAAAGAGAUAAACUCUAAUAUUUCUUAAUAAAAUAUAACUUUUUUCCAUGGAUAAAAAUGAUUUAGCUUAUAUAAAAGCUUUAGCUAUUAGAAUAACAAAAGAUCUAUUAAUUGUAAUUAUAUCUCACUUGAGCUAAUAAUAAUCUCACUAUUUAAUGGCAUAAUUGUGACUUUUCAAAAGUAAUAAAACUCAGUCCAUCACUUACAAAGUUAGCUAUCCACAUUCUUGGUAUUGUAACAACUCAUUCAUGCAAUUAUUUGCAACAAAAUAAAUAAAAUUAGUGCAAAAUAAAACAUGUUUCUUGACCACUCCAAAUUAGAAGUGUUACUCCUUUUCUUCAGUUGAAAUUACCACAAUUGAGCUCCAUUAAAAACACAAGUCACCUCUUUUUUCUUAUACUCGGUUCGAUUCUCAUCAUAACCUCUUUCUUCCAGAAGAUUCCUCUCGAAUCUUAAGGCUUUAUUUUCCUGCUAUAUUAAUAAAAGUUUAUUAUGUCCUUGUAAAGGACUUUAUUUUUCCACAUAUUGAAACUAAUUCUCAUUCUGCAAGAUCAAAUAUAACUUGAAUAAAUUCACAUUUGUUCCUUUUCAAUAUUUCAAUCCGUGGAGCACCUCUCUUGUCAACAUUCCCUCACCUUAAUAUGUAACAACAAAUAACUUCAUGCUUUGUGUUUCAUUAUCCUUAAGAUUUUUUUUUAAUCAACAGACUGGAUGCAUAAUGAAGCAUUAGGAACAAGCUUCCUUUUCGAGAGUUGAAAAAUCAUCACGAACAAUAGAAGAAAAAUCAUUAACAAAUAAAAUUUUUGUGCUCUUUUUCUUUUUCUUCAUUUUCUCUUCUUACUUUUAGUCUUAUUUUUUCUUUACUCCUUAUUGCUUCUUUUUCUAUUUUUUUUAUUUUUUUCUAUUUUCUCCUUUAGUCUAUGUUGAUCCUUAUUGACUUGUCUUGGAGGCACAACUUUAAACUUAAUUUUAUGUCCCUCAUGUCUCAAAUAAAGUGAGCCUUUGUCGAGAUUGAGUGCUUUAAAAUGAAAUCAUGAUCAUCCUAAAAGAAGAUGACAAGAGUCCAUGAGAGUUAUAUCACAUAAUAAUACAUUGUCCUAUAGUGAAUCUGAUCCAUGCUUGAUUCAAAUGAGAGCUUGUUGGUAAGUGGAGUUUCUCCACUAAUCUUUGGUUCACAACAUUGUUGUCGCUUCCGUAAUCGUAUACAACUAAACAUGGGUGACCUUCGACUAAAUACUUUGGAUAGCAAAUUUGUAUCGUCAUUCUAAACUCAGAACCUAAGCUCUGAUACCAAAUGAUGUAAAGUCCAUUUGCAUAAGGGCUAAUUUAGGAUCUUUACGAUUAAAACCUUGUACGAAAGUUGGAAAAUUACUCAGAGGGUGAAUUGGAAAGUGGUUGAAAUUCCAAGUUGGAUAGUAUUUUAGAAACAUUGAUAUCUUGAGUUUUAGGGCUCCAAUUGAGGUGAUUCCAAAACAAUAUGAAAGUUCUCAUUCGGAAAUUCAAUUUAGGCUAAAAAGUCGCUCAAUUUGGACAAGUAGAUAGAGAGUUAUUAGCACAAGAUAAAUCUACACAAAAUUGAGUUUUUUCUUAAUCCGGAAAGCGCAAGAGGUGAGUAUGAAAGAUAGAAAGAAAGAAUCACUCUUUUCAAGAGAGACAACAUACAACGGAUUAGAAAGUCUUUCGAUACAACCAAAGAAGUUAUUGUGGAGUUAAGGUUAAGUCUUCUUACACAAUUUAUCUUCUGACUCUAAGCUUAGGUUACAUUUUAGUCCUUAAUUUUCCUUACACCGUUUGGUUUGAUCGGGUGUCACCUAUAGAAGAUACUAGGGGUGGACAAAUGAAAUCGCACUGUACUGAAUUAAAAACUAGUUUGUUUAAACUGAACUGAACUGUAAAAUAGUUCAGACAAACUGAACUGAACUGUUUUUUGUUUUAUCAAACUGAAUUGAACUGUACUGUACUAAAUUAUACUAAACUACAAUAUAAACUGAACUUAACUACUAAAUAUACUAAUUUUAAACUGAAUUAUACUAAUUUUUAAACUAAAUAGUAUAAUAUACAUGUUCUUUUUAAUUGAAAUUUAUUUUAAUAUUUAUCUUAUUUUAUUCAUAAGUGUCUAAUAAAUUGAUUUUUUAAUUAUUUGGUAUUAUUAUUUUUUAUUUUAUUUAUAUUUCUUUUAUUAUUAAAAAUUAUUUUAUUUUUUAUUUAUUUUAUUGAUAAAAAAAUAUAAAAAAUAACGCCAUACACUACCAUAAUAUAUAUAUAUAUAUAUAUUAUGUAAUUUAAAAAAUAUAAAAAUAUAAAUUACGUUUUUUAUUUAUAUACGUUAUAUGUUUAUUCAUAAAAAACUAUAAAUUUUGUGAUAAAAAAAUUUUGUUUUAAAAAAUAAUUAUUAUUUUUUUUUUAUGUAAAUGGUUUCUUUUAUUAGUAUUUUAUUAUUAAAUAUUGUUUUUUUGGCAAGACGAAGCAAUUGAAUGAGAACUAGAAAAGACGAAAGAGUAGAUAUAGUUCUCACAGUUAACUGAACUGAAACUGUUAUUGAGUUCAAUUUUUAAAAACUAAACCAUAAAAUAGUAUACUGAACUUUUAAUAAGGGUGGAUCAGUUUUUUUUAGUAUAAUAUAAUAGAGUUAACGAGUUUUUUUAGUAUAAUACAGUACACGACAUUUGACAAUAAAUGUAUAGUAAAAGUAACUAACUACCUAAAUAUCAAACCUGUAUUUAUAGACUUUUGGAAUGGAUUUCGGAUUAGUGUUGGCCCAAUUACGACCCAUCCGCUAAUGACCUGACUUAGUGGUUAAUUAUUCUUAUUUGUUUAUCUUGUUAUAAUUCGACCGAUCAGUUUUCCGUUCUUUUGGAUGGAAAAUUAUGUUGACCACUCGAUCCAUAACUGAUAGGAUGAUAUGGUUAAUAUGUAACAUAUAUAUAAAUUAGAUAUUAAAAACAUAAAAUUUAGGUCACAUCACAUUAUGUAAUAUUAGUAUAACAAUAAUCAAAUUAUUAUUUGUUUAAAGUAAGUACUAUUUUCCAGAAAAUAUAUAAUUUUACUCUAAUUAUAUGUGUAUAUUUCCUUUUAGUAACAGCUAUAUAUAUUAUAAGAUGUUAUAACAUUUAUAAUGCAUUUCCUUUUUCACCUUCUUUAUAUAUUAUGGUACCUAAUAUCUUAUGCAUUUCACAAUGUUAGAAAACAAACUAUGAAUGAUUGUAACACACAAGUAAAUAACGUAACUCAAUAAGAACUCUUAUAUUUAACCUGAAAUCGACAGCAGACUUAUUGUGUGGAUUAUGAUUUGCAUAUAGUUUAACAAUUCACGUCUCUUAAUAAAUUGAAGUGACGUUUUUUAAAAUGUAAAAAAAAAAAAAGACAUAUAUAUAUUAUAUUGAAGGUGACUCUACUAAGAAUGUUCUCAGGUGACUCUACUAAGAAUAUUAUUUUUAAUGAGAAUAAUUUGUAAUAAGGAUUAUAACAAAUAUAGGCCACAGAAAUAAGAGUCAACUAUGGAAGUUUUUGUGCAUAUUCUUUAACCAGUUGUGAAAAAUUAAAUGAAGAUGCAUCUUCUCCAAAGCUGUUGCACUCACGCGCAUUUUCUCACCUGUUGCCUUUGACUUAGACAGCAAAUUCUAAUCAUCCUUCUUAUUUACUUAACUUACCAUAUCCUAGUUUUUGAUACAUUUUCCGUUUUUUUUUUAUGUGCAAGGUUAUUUUUAUAAAUUAAGAAAUAUAAUCAUUUUUAUUUUAGUUAAUGAUACAAUUUCAUAUUUUGCUUAUUUUUUUCUCUUUAUCUAAAACAAUAAAUAAAUACAUGUACAUCAUAUUUUAAAAUGAUUGUGAGAACGAAGGAUAUAUUAGAAAAAGACAAUAAAUAUGUUGGUGAAAUUCCAUAAAAGAUUAAUUUUAUACAAAAGACAAAGGAAAUGGAACGGAAGAAGUAAAAAUAUUGGCUACUUUUUACAAUUUCAAUUGUAACAACUCUCGAGAAAUUAUACAAAUUUAUUCUCUUUUAAGUAAUUAAAGUUGUAUAGAGAUAAAUUUUCAGAUAAAGAUGCACUAUACAUUAUAAUAUAUUAAUAAUAACACUAUAGUAUUUAAUUGUAAUGAUGAAAUAUUAUAUUUCUAAUUCAAUAAUAAAGAAAGAGUACCAUUGAUAUAUAUAAUUCUUCAGAACAAUAUAAAAAAGUAACAGAAUAUAAAUAUAUGAACAUAAAUGCACAUGUAUGAACAGAGAAUAAAAUAAUUCCAAUAUCUCCUCAAGCUGCAGUAUAUAUAUCCUUAAUGCUCAGCUUGGACAACAAGGAUUGAAAUUGUGCUGGAUGCAAAGCUUUAGUAUGAAUGUCUGCAAGUUGUGCUGAAGUAGAAGUGAGCAGGUUUUAUGAUCCUUUUCUACUUUGUCUUUGUUGCGGCAGCCCCCUAAAAGUCUCUUUUUCAUCUGAUGUCUUUUAUCUUUUACUUGCUGGUCAUAAACUUUUUGUCAUUCAUGAUCCUUCGUUUUUUUUUAUCUUCUUCAACACAGGACGUCGAUCAUUCCUUUCUUUUUGUCUCCCAUGGCCAAAGACAACUCUUCAUCUAUUAGCAACCCUCACGAGCCAUCAAAAUUAUUCACUUGCAUCACCCUUAACAGUGUCACCAAGCUUCUACCCUCAAAUUACCUCACUUGAAAACUUCAAGUUGAAGCUUUUCUUUAUGGCUAUGAUCUUCUUAAAUAUCCAGAUGGAUCCUUUCCUGCGUCGCCGAUGACGAUCUCCACCACCGUGGUACCUCCAACUCUGAUUCCUGCUUAUCAAACUUGUGUCGACGGGACCGUCUUAUAUAUGAUGUUCUACUCACCACUCUCUCUCCUGAAGUGACAUCCCUAAUGUCUCAAACAACGACAUUACAUGAUCUUUUAGAAGAAAAGAAAUGAUGAAAUAUUAUAUUUCUUAUUCAAUGAUAAAGAGAGAGUACAAUUGAUAUAUAUAUAUAUAAUUGUUCAAAAGAAUAUAAAAAAAAUAUAAAUAUAAAAACAUAAUAUAAAUAUAUGAAGAUAUAUGAUAUAUAAACUGAGAAUAAAAUAAUUUCAAUGUUAAUCGUCAAGUAUUUAAAGUUUACUCUUAUUUUUUUAAAUAUUAUAACAUUACGAUUUCAUAUUCAGUAUAUUCGAUCAAAAAUAACAAAAGAAUAUAAUUCAAAUAACAAAAGAAUACGACUCAAAAAGCUCGUGUUCUUUGUUUCAUCUACUAGUAAUUAUUGUAAAGGUGAAAAAAUCACAACACAAUUAAAAAGAGUAAACUAAUAUUACCGAUUCUAAACAAAAAUGUAAUUUAUAUUCUUAAAAAUAAACUAUUAAUAUAAAUUCCAAUGCAUGAUUAUAUCGUUACAUAUUUGUACACAUAAGAUUCAAAACAUUCUUAGACUCAAUAUCCGUAUUAAUGUAAUUACUUGAACACUACUAGAGACCUGUUAAAAUUUUCCAUAAAAUCUUUUCACGUUUUGAAAUAUGAUAAGUUAAGACUGGUUCAAAAUUUACAAAUCCACAAUCUUCUUCACAAAAUUAAUCCACCACAACUUAAUAGGAACCUCAUGUAUUCUUUAUCACCCAAAAUUUUAAUUAUUUUAUUCGUUAAGUAUGAUUUUCUUGAUCUAAAAUAACUCAUUAUAAUAAAAAAAUUAUAUAAAAUAAAUAAAAAUUAUCUAUAAUAAAAUUAUAAUAAAUAUAAAGCUUUUUUAAUUUAAUAAUAUUUUUAUUUUAAUAUUAUAAUAAUAUUUUUUAAUUUUUUCUAUUAUAAAAAAAGUGGGCAAACACAUGUAUAGACAGUGUUUCUACUAGUUUUAAUAAAAACAAUUAAUUUAUCGAUAAAAAGUAUUAUAACAAUAUAAAAAGGAGUAAUUUAGGAUUAUAAUUAAUUAUAAGACGUGAGAAUAUGUCUUUUGACUUAUACCCAAUCCUAUUUUCAUCCCUAACCAGUUCAUCAUUCUCAGUCCACAUUCAAUACCAACUACGCAUAAUUCCUUAUUCUUCUAAUCUACUUAGAAAAAAAAAAAACAUCUUACGUAACCACAAUGAAACUUUUCAAAAGCACUCUUCCUAUAAUUUUUCUUUGUCUUUUUGUCAAAUAUAAUUUAAACUUAUUUUUAAUUUUUCGGAUGUUUAUUUCAAUUUUAUAAAUAUUCAAAGCAUAAAAGAAUGUAAUUUUUUAUUAAAAGCAAAAUAUUUUUUCAUAAUUAUUUAAAAGUUACAUAAAAAUAUGAAUUGAUAUCUGCCUUCUUUUAGUAUAUAUAAUUAAAAUAAAAAUGAGAAGAAAAUGUUUCUACGGGUUCUAACCAUGUUAUCUUUUAAACUUAGGAUAUAAACUUAUUUUAUAAGUUGUCAUUGACGUGUGAAGAAUUUGUAACCAGUGAUGAAUUAUUAAGAAGUUGUUAGAAGGUCAAUUCGUAUAUCCUAUGGUUCAACAUUAUUUCUAGUCGCAUUAACUGCAUCCAUCCAUAAUUAGUUAAGUGUAACUUGUUUGACACAGUUCAUAAAAUAUCUCUUAAUUAUCCUAACUUCAUUCAUAUAUAUUUAAAAUGUAAAUAUCAAAUUUUCAUUUUUUAAAUAAAUUUAUGUUAAAUAUACUUAUAUAACAAAAUUCAUUAAUUAUUAUUUUAUUUUAAUGAGAAUGAACUAAAUAAAUAUUGUCCAUAUUAUAGUAAAUUACUAUAAGAAAAACUCUCUAGUGUUCUCAAUAACACAAAUACUGAGCCGUGUUUGUAUGGGGGAGAAAAUGAACACAGCUUCAACUUAUAAGAAACAAAUGUAAAUUUUUUUUAUCUUACAUGUAAGAAGCAUAACAUAUAUUAAUUAGUAAUCAUUAAUUUAUUGUUAAACUCUUAAUUUAUUAGAAAAUUGUUUUACAAGUCAGUCCUUAGGUUUUUCAUGUUCUCUUGUUUAGUUUUUAUUUAAAAUAGUAAAUUUAUUUGCAUGAGAGAAUAAAAUCCUCCAGGACACACUUUAGCAAUUUAAUUUUAAGAUAUACUUUAAAUUUUUUUGUAUACAUUCAAUAAUCUUAUAGAAGUUAAAAUAAAUAUUUUUUUCUUUCUUUAACCUUUCAAUAUAUUUUUUAAAAACAAAACUAUGACGAACCCGUAAAUUUCAAAACAUACAAUACUUGAAAAUAUAAUAUUGGUUUGGGACGAAAACAAUUUUUUUUAGUUCUCUAUUGAAUACUUUUUCCUCUUAUUACGUUAAACUUAGGAAAGGAACAAAAUUAAAAUUAUUCUAUCAAAAUAGAGUUGUUAUUUCUUAAUUGCAACUUUUCUUGAUCUUUUAUCUGUUGGCAACGUAUAUCUAAUAUAUAGAAUUGUUUUAAGUAGGAUGGACAAAAUGAGAUGUGUUGAAUUUUAUUAUUAAAAAAUUUAUUAAACUAAGUUAGCGAAGUGAACUAAACUAAAAAUUAGUUCAGAUGAAUUAUUUAUUUUUUCUAUUAAACUGCAUUGCAUUAAAUUAAAAUGAACUAAACUAAAUUGAAUUAUAAUAUGAACUGUUAUCUAUCUUAACUUGUUUUCGAACUACACCAAUUUUAAAUUGAACAAUACUAUUUUUGAAUUGAAUUACAUUAAUUUUGAACCGAACUACAAUAUUUUGGAAUUUAAAAACUAAAAAAAUGUAGUAUUUAUCCAUUUCAUUCAUAAUAUAGGUUCUCCCAUAAAAAAUAUUAAAAAGUUUAGAUGAGUCAGGUUGGAUCAAAGGUCAAGAUAGGAGAAGUCGUGCAAAAUGUCGAAAUAGGUAUGGGUCGAAAUUCAGUCGAAUUCUACUCAGACGAGCACUAUCGAAACUCGAUUGAGUUAGUCUCAACCUAAAAUCAAUUGAAUUAAGCUAAGAAGGUCACAAACAAAACUCAGUCAAGUCAAUAUUGAUUGAAAUUUGAUCGAAUUGGCGUGGGUCGAAACUCGAACAAAUUCGAUUGGAAUAGUUGAAGUUACAAGAAAACACUAGAAGGGGGAUUAAAUAGUGUUAUGAAAAAACUUUUUCAUUGAUGAACGUUUAACAGCCUUGGUAACGGUUAGAUGGUCUACACAGGUGUUAACUCUUUAGCAAGCAUACCAAAUUGUGCAAGUAAUAUAGAUUGUAAGUCCAUAUAUCGUUUUCCAAUGGAUUUGUGGUUGUUUAGGUAAUUAUGUUUACUCUACUAGUUUAGGUAAUGAAUACAAACAAUGAUUGGUUCAAGUAUAUUACAAACAUAAGAAAAUUACUGAAAACAACGAUUAUAAAGUUAUAUGGAUAAAGAUUCAUUGUAGUUGAAUUUCAUGACCUAAACUCUCUAAUCACUCAACCAUGUAAUAUAUACUCAACCAUGUAAUAUAUUUUUAACAUCUCACAUUCACAUCAUAAGUAAACAAGUCUUAAUUCCUUAACAAGUCCUAAAUUUUCAUAUGAAAAUACUAAUUCCUUAAAUAUUCAAAUACAAGAUUUACAUUAAACAAAUAUGUCAAGAAUGACAAAGAGUUCGUCUAUGUCUAGAACCAAGUCUCUUGGUUAUUCUAUCACGGUCUUGAUUCUAAAACACUUGUCAAUGUUUAGAUACCAAUAAAAUAGCAUAUAUAUAUAUAUAUAUAUAUAUAUAUAUAUAUAUAUAUAUAUAUAUAUAUUUUAUAAUGCAAGUGAAAGCAAGAGAGAAAACAUAUGAAUUCAGAAAAAUAUUCUAUUACAGGGAAAAACUUACAAAAAAUUUAGGUAUAUUAGUUUUUUUUUACUGUCUUAAUUUUUUUUUACUGUCUUAAUUUUUUUUUACUGUCUUAAUUUGUUCUUUGAGGUUUUUAAUCACUUAUAAUCACUAAACCUAAGUUUUUUUAAUCUAUUUUUAAAAUGAAAUCAUUUUUUUUCUGUUUUAUCAAAUUAAAGAAACAUCUCAUUCAAUUAUUUUCUUUUUAUAGAGCUUUUAUCUUUAUAUAUUUUCUUAUGCCACUUAACAUUCUUAACUUUAUUUGAAAUGUUAAGUUUUAUUUUAAUGGAUUAAAAGCUGUUUCAGUAUGUUAAAAACUUGUUUGAAAAAUCUUAUAGGAUUAGUGUUAUGUAUAUUAUUCUUAUUGUUUUCUUAAAGAGUUAUAGUAAGAGUCAAAAACAUAUUAGAUUGAUCAUAAUUAAACAACUGGAUAUAAUUUUUAUGAUAGAAGUAAACCAAUAUAAACUUUUACGUAUUUUUUUUCUUAUACAUUUUUAAUUGAUAUAUUGUUCUUUAUAUAUUUGGUGAACCUUCAAUAUGAUAUUUCAAAUAUUUUAUAUUUCUGUCUUAAAUAUUCUAUUUGAAUUAAUUAAUAUAAUUUUUUUUCUCGUUUUUCCUUCCUCAGUUUGCCGGCAACAUAUCCUUAAACACAACAAGCAAGGUUUUGCAAUCCAUUUUUAUGUGUGGCUGAGGCCUAGUCAUCCAAACAAGCAAAAUUAAUCCAUUUGAAAAUCAUUAUAAUAAGGUUCAAAUGCUCAAAAUAGAGUAAACAAAUAGAUUUAAAUAUAAAUAUACUUUUAGUAUCUGAAUUACACUAAUUCUCUUUAUAACCCCAUUUUGAUUUGAAGUUAGAAUAUGCUUAAAAAGAAAAGUAGAAAAGAAAGUGUUGGAUAAAAUAAUUAAUAAACAUCUGAAAAGGACAAUCCAUGCAUAGGUUUGAUUUGAUGUGAUCCACAGAAACACAAGUAGAUUAGAUCAAAUAAUAAAAUAAAAAGAGAAUGAGAAGAAGUGAAGUUGGUAGGAAAUGUUCUUUCUAUAUAAAUUCCAAAGAGAAAGGAGAUAAGAAAAUGAAACUUGAUUCAUAGUAUUUGGUGAUAUGGUAGCUCACUUUUUAUUUUAUUUAACUUACUAUAACACCACAAAAUUCAUUACAUAGGGUUUGGUCGGAACGUCUAUCUUUUACUCAAUCCAUCUCAUUUUAAUUAUUGUGAAAACAAAAUACUAUUAAUUCAUCAUUUUCAUUUAUAUUCUUACUAUUUUCAAUGUCGCUUUUAUUUUGAAUAAUAUUUAAAACCGAUUAAAGUUCUUUUUUAAAAGAAAAUAUUUUUUUAAUAUCUAAAAUCUAAAAUAUUGGUCAUAUAUAUAGAGAGAGAAAGAGUAUCAAAAUUUAUAUGUGUAUGAGAUAAAAGAUAUGGUGUGAUAAAAAGAGAUAGGAAGAAAAAAAUUAAAUACAUAUUUAUUUAUUUUUAAAAUCAGGAAUCUCUUUCAUUUAUUUGUCUAUUAAUGAUUAGAGCGAUAGACUCGUUAAACUUAAUAUUACUUUUUUUUAUCCAAUAAACUGAUUAAUGGAAAUUAAGGAAAAAUUUAUAAUUUGAUAUAUAAUAUUAAAUGUGUAUUUUAUUUAUAUAUCUUUUGAAAAGUAUCUGGAACAUUGAUGAUUAUCUACAAAUUGAAUAUAGUCGAGUAGCUAGACAUUGAACCAAAAGAAACGUCUUUAAGAAGAGUAUUAUUUUCCAUAUAAAGAAAAAAGAAAUGAAACAUAUAAAAGUUUAAACAGUAUUUUCAAUUUAAAAGAAUUUGUGGUGAGAAUAGAAAAUGGGGCGGUGCAGUGGUGGAUGUAGUGGGAUUGUGGGCCCCACCUAAAGCUUCCAUAAGCAAAACAAUGGCCAUAGAAAACCCUUCUUUCUCUCUUCUCUCAACUUUCAUCAUUCUUCAAAUGAAUCAAUCUUCCAAUGAGUGCAUCUUCUUCACAAGUCAAAUUUCAGAUUUUAAAUAUUUUUUUUAAUAUAUAAUAAACAAUGAAAUACUAAAAAUGAAAAUGAAACUCACUAAAUAGUAUAUAUAAAUGCUGCAUUUUUUACUUCACCAUGUUAAUUGGUGUUAAGUUAUUUACAUAACACAAUGACUUCAGCAAUGCAGUAGCUUGACGCAAUAAUGAUACUGAUUAAGUUGCUAAUACCUUAUUUUUUGUAAUUAAUCAUACAACAUUAUGAUAAGUGGUUUACACAUAAUAUAAAGACAUGUUCCGAAAGUGAGAGUGAGAUAUAUUUAAUAAUAUUUUUGAAAUUUCACGGUUGAAAAAAAAAAUGAAUGAAAUAAUUACAGUGUGACAUUGCACUGAGGAUAUUGAUAUUUUAAUAACUAUUUUUAACAAUUUUUUUAUAAUAGAAUAUGUAUCAUUAUUUUAUUGAUCUGUUUAAAUUUAUUUUUAAAAAAUAUGUGAAACGGAUCAAUUACAAAUUAUCACGUAAGUGUUAUCAAAAAAUAAUCGUUAAAACAACUUUCUCUUUACACUGAAGUGAUUGUUUGGUCGAGAAGGCUUGCGAAAAGUUGUAAUAGUUUGUAGUUCGGUCUUUGGAUAUGACUGCUUGCCAACGCAACACAUACCAACAAUUUAGAUGGAUCUAGUUUUCUUAAAUCCACUCACUUUAGAGAAAUAAAAAAUAAAUUAAAAUAGAGAAUUCUAUCAUUCUUUUUCAACACCAACCCUCCUAAAUUAUUUAUUUAUUUUUUUCUAUGUUUAUGCUACAUCCUAGUUAUCUAUACUUAUUUAUGUCUGUCUAUAACUUUUUCUCAUGUUUAUGAUAGUAAUUCUAAUGAUGGUAUUCAAAAGUCUACUUCAAUUUCUUUUAAGGAUGUGCCACUGUUCUUUUCGUGAAAAGUAAUUAACUAUAUUUUUCUCUUUUCAUUCUUUAAAAUAAAUUUUAAGAAUAAAUUCGUGAAAAAAAAAAUCAAUUUUAAAGUAAACACCCUUAAACAUAAUAAUUUAAAAAAAUCCAGAUGUGAAGCAUUAUUAAUACUUAGCCGAACAUUUCUCUUUGGUUUUGCAUUUUAGUCUUUGUAUGAUCAAUUAUACGUGCUGUUUAAGCUUUGCUUUAUGUUAAUAAAUAUUUUCAUAUAUUCUAAAUGAGUUGGCAGAAGCUAUGACUUUCCGACAUUGGCUGAAUGGGCUGUUUUCUUGUCAAACUUUCAGUUAAAAUAUAUAAAAAAUAUAAUAUUUUAGUUGGUGAUGUGUUCCAAAUAAAAUAAAAUCGUGGUAGUUGUAUUUAUCGAAAAAAUAAUAAUUUUUUUGAUAUUUUAACAUUUAUUUAAUAUUAUUCUUUCUUAAUUUUUAUUUUUUAAAAAAAUAUAAAAUUUUAUAUUUUUAUAAUCGUGUCAAAUAAACGUAAAAGUAUAUAAUAUUUCUUUUUAUUUUACUGAAUGAAAAAGUAGUCAAAGUGAUGUUAGAAUUACGAAACCCUAAACAUUCUGAAAUGUGAAGAAGUUGAUAAAAGUUACCUGAAAUGUGUCAUGAAUAACGUCAUCUAAUAGGGUUAUAGAAUAGUGCAUAUUUUGUUAUGGUAGUGGAUUGCAAGAAUUCAAACUUAAAUUGUUGAAACCUCCACGCUUUUAUGUAUUGGUAUUCAACGAAUUGACAAGUAAUCAUUGGUAGAAGCUUUCAAAAUCAUUAUUAGUAUGAAAAUUAAAAGAGAUUUCACAUAAUAUCAAUAUUAAUUGAUAUUAAUAACGUCAAAAUGAGUUUUCAUAACGUGUUUAUUACGUCCAAUUAGGAAUAUUUUAUGUACAAUUAGAAUACAAUUUUCCACAAAUUAGAAGAGAGGUUUCACAUUAGAUAGUUAAUCUGCUUUUAGGUUUUUAAGCCACACCUAAAAGAGAAUUAAUUAACUAUUUUAGAAAACGGGUUAGUAGCAUUUCUUAGUAUAUCUUUACUAUUAGUUAGAAUUUAUUUAAACUAUAAAAUUACGAGUAAAACUUAUAAGUACUUGAAGUUCAUAAAUUUGUGUGAUUUCACCAAAUUUAGUUAAAUAUAAAAAAAAUAUUUAAAAUAGUAUGUUUCUAACCUUUUUUAUACUGUAAAAAAAUAGAAAAUUUUGAUUGAUAAGCAAGUAUUUAUACAAAUGUAUAUUUUUAAUAAUGUCACUAAACAUAGAAUCGUUUUUUUUAUCUCAAUAGGUCAAUUUGUAAAUUUGAAUUAGUAUAAUUAUGUAAUUUUAUUUGUUAUACAUUACUAUUAAUGUAGCGUAAUGUAAUUUUUUACAUGUUUCUAAAAAUAUACAUUCAAUUAUCUUUUUUAAUUAUUAUUAUUAUUCAAUUCUAAAAUUUGACACAAAUGAACUAAGUACCAAUUCAAUAAUUAACUUGAAAAAUUAUAUUUUAUAUAAAAUUAUGGAUAACGUAAAAUUAUGGAUACAAACUGAUCCCUUUCCUUUAAAUUUUUAAAAUAUAAAGCAAUCAUUUUAUUUUAACCAAUUUCGUUUUUUGUUGCAUGAUAAAGUAUUUAAAAGGUAAAAAGAAAUAGAAUAAAAUGGUUUUAUAUUUACAGCAUAGUGAUCGACAAAAUAAAAUACAAUUUCUCUUCUAUUUUUUAAAACAAUUGCUAUUUUAAAGGUAAUGAAUUUUGUUCUCUUAUGUCUAUGUAAAGUUUUUCAGGAACCACGCUAUAAUCAUCAUUAGAUAUGAUUAUGCAAACUAGAAAGCAUUAUUAUAAAAAAAAACUAAAAGGUGUUAAGAUAAUUUACUUAUUUAUUAUAGAGAAUAAAAAUUAGCAAAAUGGUCUAAAUUUUAGGUGGAUUUCCCUUUAAAAUUAUCGAUCUUUUCAAUAGAUUGGUAAAAUGAACCACUAAAGUACCUACCUAAGUGGACCCAAUAAUAAUGAUUAAAAAACUUUAAUCAAAAUAGUACAAACUUUCCAUUGUUUCAUCAGAUGAAGUGGGGUCCAUUUUUUUUUUAUUAUUUUGGAUCAUAACCCAUGGCCAAUUUGAAAUGAAAAAGGAAAAUUUUGAAAUUUUAUUAGAAGAAAAAGUUGAAGAAUAAAAUAUUUUAUAUUUUUUGUUUACUUUAUUUGUAAUCAUAGAAAAAUAAAGUACUUAUUUAUUUUUGUUUUCUUUCCGCUCUUUUUUCUUUCCUCCAUCCACAUAUAGAAUACUAAAAACCCAAAUGCAAAAAAUAAUAAUUUUAGUAUAUUUUAAUGUAAAAAAAAUUAAAAUAUUAACGAAUUAAAAAUUAAGUGUAAUUUUUUAAUAUUUAUUACAGAAAUUAAUAAUCUGACCAUAUAUAUGACAUUUGUUAUUAGAUAAGGGUGUAAAAGAAUAUUAUCAGUGUAUUUUAAUUAAACUUAGAACCAAACAUCUUGUAACUCGGAAGAAGUUUUUUAAUAUGGGAAUGUACAUUUAUCAAUUUAUCUCCUGGUAAUUCACUGAAAAUAUAUUAUUUUUAAGAAACUUAAAUAAUAUGAAUAAUAUUUUAUAUAAAAUUUCUUUAAAUCCUUAUUAUUCGUAAAAGUAAUUUAGUUAAAUAGUAACUUUUAUACCAAAUCCGCCAUAGUUUAACAUUAUAUCAUGACAUCUUGUAUUUAUCUGAUAAUGUGUGAAAUAAUUAAAAAAUUAUAAUUAAAUUGAAUGUAUACUUUAUUACAGAAAAGUACUAAAAGAUAUAAGUUACUUUAUUUAGAUUAUGUCAUUAGAGGAAAGUAGUUGUUUUAUUUUGGGGGUUAUAAAAUAGUAAAUAUGGGGGCUUUAGAUAGUAAACCAAGUUUGGGUUUGCUGGUGAAGAAGAAAAGAAACAAAGCUUGGGAGUGAGCUUUAUUAGUCUUGGGGUGUGAAUGGAAGAUUAUUACAACUUGUUGACUAUUGGAAUUUUUAGCUUGUUGACUCAAAAGAUAUUCUCUUUUCCUGACUAAAGUGCUUUUUACCUUGUGUAAUUUAAUUUAAAGGUUUUAAAUGUUGCAUAACUACAUUUUAAUGUUCUAUUUAUGAAAAACAGUUAUGCUUGCAAAUGUAUUUUUAUGGAUUAUGAUUAUUUUAAAUAAUGUAUAUUUAAAUGAUUUACGAUUAAAGAUAUGGUUGUAUGAAAGAUAGUCAUUUAGAAAAUAAUAUAACCUUAUAUGAAUAUAUUAUGAGCAUUGAAUUAGGAAAGAUAUAGACCUUUUUAUUAACUUAAACCACAUAGGUAAAUAUUAGGUAGGGAAGUGAAAAGUUGAUAGAAAUUCUUAUCACUUAUUCAAUAUAUUGAAAAGUCAUACAAACUCAAGAAAUAUGUAGUGAGUUGCCUUGAUUACUUGUUGGAAUUAAAAUUAUAAGGCAAUUUAAAAAUUAAAUAUAUUUUGAAUAGAAUAUAUAUAUAUAUAUAUAUAUAUAUAUAUAUAUAUAUAUAUAUAUAUAUAUAUAUAUCACAAUUCUCAUUGUAUUAGGGAUAACAAAUGAUCGGGUCGAGCACGGAUAAUGUCUACCCGUAAUUUCAUCCGUCGGAUAAAAUUGUAUCCACUACCCAACCAGUUACCUACGGGUAUAUAUCUGUUUAUAGAAUACAUGCGGAUAUUUUAAAAUCCGUGGAUACUCAUAAAAAAAUAUGUUUUAUAUAUUUUUAAAAUAAAAUUUAAAUAAAAUUACUAUAUAUAUAUAUAUAUAUAUAUAAUAUAAAUUAAAUUAAAUAUAAAUUAAAGUUUAAUUUUAAUUAAAUUUAAUUUAAUAAAAUAUAAUUUAGUUUUAUUUUUAAUUAAAUUUAAUUAAAAAUAUAUAUAUAUAUAUAUAUAUAAUUUUUUUAAUUAUUUUUUGUGGGUUACGGGUAUUCGCGGGUUGGAUAGUAUAUUACCUGUACCCAACCCGUUUAGAAGCGGGUAUUAAAAUACCCGCUACCCAUUACCCGUGGGUAAUAAAUAUCCCGGAAUAAUAACUACCUGCCACGAAUUUUACCCGCGGAUAUCUGUACCUGCGAAUUUUUUUGUCAUCCUAAUUGUUACCUUAAUCUUGUGCAACCAACACCACAAACGUCAGUUUCUUAGCAUCCUUCUCUAUUGUAUCAUUUUUGUUUAAUCUUAGCGAUUUAAUCACAUGACUUAAAAUUAGUUUAAAUGGAGAAGGUUGUAAGAUGUACAGAGGAAAUGGUGGGUUGUAUGAAGGUGGGGACUAUUAAAAGGUUUAAAGAAUAAUUCUGAUGUAUUAUUUUAAAGAGUAGAGUACCAUAUACAUACAUACAAGGAUGAUAUAAUUCUUCAUCUAUUAAAGGAAUGACAGGUGCACAAAUCUGCACAAAUUGUAAUAAUAUUUAUAAAUUAUAACUAACACAAUAUUUGAUUGCCUAAUACUCAUUAAUAAAGUAUUUGACAUAUCUUAACACCCUCACUCAAGUCGGUGCAUGGAUAUCACACAUUCCAAACUUGAAUAGAGACUCAUUAAACAAUCUUCUUGACACUCCUUUAGUGAGAACAUCAGCCAACUACAAUUCUGAUCUUACAAAAGAAAAAUGAAAUUAUUUCAGCUUCAAGCUUCUCUUUGAUGAAAUGUUUAUCAAUCUUCACAUGCUUUGUUGUAUCAUGUUGCACAGGAUUUUAAGCAAUUGCUAUAGUCGAAGUAUUGUCACAAUACAAACUCAUAGCUUCAUUUUGUUUAAAGCCCAAAUCUGAUAGCACAUUUUUAAUCCACAAAAGUUCACACACACCUAACGUCAUGCCUCUGAAUUCUGCUUCAGCAUUAGAUUUUACUUCUCCAAGUUACAAGAUCAUCCCCAACCAAAACUACAACAACUACACCAACCACAGAAAGAAGAGAAAAAUUACCAACAACCUUUGCAAGUUGACUUUGACACUAAGGUUGACCCUAACAAGGAGUUAAAGAUUUCAUUUAAAUCAUCAAAUGUCAAUGAAGCCAAAGAGGAAGAACAAAUCAUAGCAACACCCCCAAUUUGAGACAAUGGAUCAGCUAAUGAAUGGGUUAUGCACAUAUGAAGUUCCAAGAAUUGACCCUAAUGAGAUUUUAAUGCCUUGUGCUCCUUCCUUUUCAGCCACCUCUACAUCUUCUUCAAAUUCAACCAACAUCCUUGAAGACCUGCAGCUACGUGAUUUUUAAUGGUUUUGUGAUUACAUUGAUAGUAGUCUUAGUAAUAACAAUAACAACCAUGAAGACAAGAACACCG
rnacentral:lncRNA from 1 species